GCGGCGUGCUUAACACAUGCAAGUCGAACGGAGUUGAUUUAAGGAAGCAAGCUUGCUUGAAGAAUUGAAUUAACUUAGUGGCGGACGGGCGAGUAACACGUGAGCAACCUACCUCUUACAGGGGAAUAACAACGGGAAACCGUUGCUAAUACCGCAUGAUAUGUGCUGAAGGCAUCUUUGGCACAUCAAAAGAGCAAUCUGGUGGGAGAUGGGCUCGCGUCUGAUUAGCUAGUUGGUAAGGUAACGGCCUACCAAGGCGACGAUCAGUAGCCGGACUGAGAGGUCGAACGGCCGCAUUGGGACUGAGACACGGCCCAGACUCCUACGGGAGGCAGCAGUGGGGAAUAUUGGGCAAUGGGCGAAAGCCUGACCCAGCAACGCCGCGUGAAUGAUGAAGGCCUUCGGGUUGUAAAAUUCUUUGGACAGGGACGAAGAAAGUGACGUACC
rnacentral:rRNA from 1 species